GGAAUAUUGCACAAUGGGGGAAACCCUGAUGCAGCGACGCCGCGUGAGCGAUGAAGUAUUUCGGUAUGUAAAGCUCUAUCAGCAGGGAAGAAAAUGACGGUACCUGACUAAGAAGCCCCGGCUAACUACGUGCCAGCAGCCGCGGUAAUACGUAGGGGGCAAGCGUUAUCCGGAUUUACUGGGUGUAAAGGGAGCGUAGACGGCAGCGCAAGUCUGGAGUGAAAUGCCGGGGCCCAACCCCGGAACUGCUUUGGAAACUGUGCAGCUCGAGUGCAGGAGAGGUAAGCGGAAUUCCUAGUGUAGCGGUGAAAUGCGUAGAUAUUAGGAGGAACACCAGUGGCGAAGGCGGCUUUCUGGACGAUGGCUGACGUUGAGGCUCGAAAGCGUGGGGAGCAAACA
rnacentral:rRNA from 1 species